UUCCAGACGACGAUAGGUUGUGAACCCGGUCAGGUCCGGAAGGAAGCAGCCGCAGCAGCUGAUUCGGGUGUUUGGAUCAGGCUG
rnacentral:SRP_RNA from 1 species